rnacentral:rRNA from 1 species
CCCCCCCGGGGAAGGAAAAAAAGGGUUUUGGGUUUGGAAAAAUUUUUGUUGUUAAAAGAGGAACAAUUUUGGGGAGUAACCGUUUCAGGUAUUGGCCGGUAUUUUACCCAGAAAAGCCCCGGGUUAAAUUACGUGCCCACCACCCCGCGGUAAAUACGUAGGGGGCCAAGCGUUGUCCGGAUUUAUUGGGCGUAAAAGCGAGCGCAGGCGGUUUUUUAAGUUUGAUGUGAAAGCCUUUGGGUUCAACCGAAGAAGUGCAUCGGAAACUGGGAAACUUGAGUGCAGAAGAGGACAGUGGAACUCCAUGUGUAGCGGUGAAAUGCGUAGAUAUAUGGAAGAACACCAGUGGCGAAGGCGGCUGUCUGGUCUGUAACUGACGCUGAGGCUCGAAAGUAUGGGUAGCAAACAGGAUUAGAUACCCUGGUAGUCCAUACCGUAAACGAUGAAUGCUAAGUGUUGGAGGGUUUCCGCCCUUCAGUGCUGCAGCUAACGCAUUAAGCAUUCCGCCUGGGGAGUACGGCCGCAAGGCUGAAACUCAAAGGAAUUGACGGGGGCCCGCACAAGCGGUGGAGCAUGUGGUUUAAUUCGAAGCUACGCGAAGAACCUUACCAGGUCUUGACAUACUAUGCAAAUCUAAGAGAUUAGACGUUCCCUUCGGGGACAUGGAUACAGGUGGUGCAUGGUUGUCGUCAGCUCGUGUCGUGAGAUGUUGGGUUAAGUCCCGCAACGAGCGCAACCCUUAUUAUCAGUUGCCAGCAUUAAGUUGGGCACUCUGGUGAGACUGCCGGUGACAAACCGGAGGAAGGUGGGGAUGACGUCAAAUCAUCAUGCCCCUUAUGACCUGGGCUACACACGUGCUACAAUGGAUGGUACAACGAGUUGCGAACUCGCGAGAGUAAGCUAAUCUCUUAAAGCCAUUCUCAGUUCGGAUUGUAGGCUGCAACUCGCCUACAUGAAGUCGGAAUCGCUAGUAAUCGCGGAUCAGCAUGCCGCGGUGAAUACGUUCCCGGGCCUUGUACACACCGCCCGUCACACCAUGAGAGUUUGUAACACCCAAAGUCGGUGGGGUAACCUUUUAGGAACCAGCCGCCUAAGGGACAGAGUUUGGG